UACGGAGGGGGCUAGCGUUGUUCGGAAUUACUGGGCGUAAAGCGCGCGUAGGCGGCUUUGUAAGUUAGAGGUGAAAGCCCGGAGCUCAACUCCGGAAUUGCCUUUAAGACUGCAUCGCUAGAAUCAUGGAGAGGUGAGUGGAAUUCCGAGUGUAGAGGUGAAAUUCGUAGAUAUUCGGAAGAACACCAGUGGCGAAGGCGGCUCACUGGCUCAUUUCUGACGCUCAGGCGCGACAGCGUGGGGAUCAAACAGG
rnacentral:rRNA from 1 species